UACGUAGGGGGCAAGCGUUGUCCGGAUUUAUUGGGCGUAAAGAGCGUGUAGGCGGCCAGGUAGGUCAGCUGUGAAAACUCGAGGCUUAACCUCGAGACGCCGGCUGAAACCCUCUGGCUAGAGUCCGGAAGAGGAGAGCGGAAUUCCUUGUGUAGCGGUGAAAUGCGUAGAUAUCAGGAAGAACACCCGUGGCGAAGGCGGCUCUCUGGGACGGUACUGACGCUGAGACGCGAAAGCGUGGGGAGCGAACAGG
rnacentral:rRNA from 1 species